UGGUGGAGUGAUUUGUCUGGUUAAUUCCGUUAACGAACGAGACCUCGACCUGCUAAAUAGUUCAACGUAAGCUUUGCUUAUGUAUGCACUUCUUAGAGGGACUGUCGGUUCUUAGCCGAAGGAAGUUCGAGGCAAUAACA
rnacentral:rRNA from 1 species